UGGGGAAUAUUGGACAAUGGAGGAAACUCUGAUCCAGCAAUUCUGUGUGUGUGAAGAAGGUUUUAGGACUGUAAAACACUUUUAGUAGGGAAGAAAAAAAUGACGGUACCUACAGAAGAAGCAACGGCUAAAUACGUGCCAGCAGCCGCGGUAAUACGUAUGUUGCGAGCGUUAUCCGGAAUUAUUGGGCUUAAAGGGCAUCUAGGCGGUAAGACAAGUUGAAGGUGAAAACCUGUGGCUCAACCAUAGGCUUGCCUACAAAACUGUUGAACUAGAGUACUGGAAAGGUGGGUGGAACUACACGAGUAGAGGUGAAAUUCGUAGAUAUGUGUAGGAAUGACGAUGAUGAAGAUAACUCACUGGACAGAAACUGACGCUGAAGUGCGAAAGCUAGGGGAGCAAACAGG
rnacentral:rRNA from 1 species